CAGUGAACACUUCUCCCUUCGAUUUAAAUACCCAGUCACUAAGAAUUAGAACUCAUUGCUGAAGGCAUUUACAGUAGAUAUCAUUGCUGAAGAAAUCAGAAGGGGACAGUGAACUUGGUUUAGCCAUGGAUAACAUCGAAGAAAAAUUUGCUAAAAUUCAUCAUUAUUGUCUCAUCACCAGGAAGAUGAAAAAGAACCAGUCAGUAUAAAAAGUGCAGAAUUUUGCAAGUACAAUCUGAAU